rnacentral:rRNA from 1 species
GAUGAACGCUGGCGGCGUGCUUAACACAUGCAAGUCGAACGAUGAAGCUCAGCUUGCUGGGUGGAUUAGUGGCGAACGGGUGAGUAACACGUGAGUAACCUGCCCUUAACUCUGGGAUAAGCCUGGGAAACUAGGUCUAAUACCGGAUAGGAGCGUCCACCGCAUGGUGGGGGUUGGAAAGGUUUAUCGUUUUUGGAUGGACUCGCGGCCUAUCAGCUUGUUGUUGAGGUAAUGGCUCACCAAGGCGACGACGGGUAGCAGGCCUGGGCGGGUGACCGGCCACGCUACGACUGAGCUACGGCACAGACUACACCGGGAGGCAAGGGUGCAGAAUAUUGCACAAUGGGCUAGAGCAUGGUGCAGCGACGCCGCGUGAGGGAUGACGGGCUUGCGGUUGUAAUCCUCAGCCCGUAGGGAAGAAGCGAAAGUGACGGUACCUGCAGAAGAAGCACCGGCUAACUACGUG